rnacentral:misc_RNA from 1 species
GAUGAAGAACGUAGCGAAAUGCGAUAAGUAAUGUGAAUUGCAGAAUUCAGUGAAUCAUCGAAUCUUUGAACGCAUCUUGCGCUCCUUGGUAUUCUGAGGAGCAUGCCUGUUUGAGUGUCAUUAAAUUCUCAACUACACUGACCUUGAAUUGGUGUGGCUUGGAUUUGGGGGGAAAAUUGUUGUGGGCUUUUUGUAUAGUCUGCUCCCCUGAAAUUGAUUAGCGGUACCUUUGUGGAACUGUCUACAGGUGUGAUAAUUAUCUACAUCUUAGACAUCUGCUGGAAUGCUGCUUUCUAAACCUUACUUGUAUUGACAAUCUUGACCUCAAAUCAGGUAGGACUACCCGCUGAACUUAAGCAUAUCAAUAAGCGGAGGA